GAGUAGGCCCACCAAGGCAACGAUCGGUAGCCGGACUGAGAGGUUGAACGGCCACAUUGGGACUGAGACACGGCCCAGACUCCUACGGGAGGCAGCAUG
rnacentral:rRNA from 1 species